CGGGUUUAGCAUCUAUAAUCCAAGCUGAGCAGGGCAGAAUAUCAGGCUGGGCCUAGGCUUAGAUUUUGUUAAAACCCAGGCCAUGGACACGUGUAACCUAAAUACAAUAAAAUUAAAUAAAAAUUAAACCGAGUAGUAUGGUUGAAAUCAGUUUCGAGACUUUGAAUUUCCUUACUCAGCCAUAGAUAACGGGCCAGUGAUGGACAAAUUAAUUACAAAUUAGAAGGUCUCAGUUGGGCUUAGAUCUUAUUCUCUAAAGUUCAGGCCCUGUAGGACGCUGGAGUUGGGUUUGGACCUAGUUCUCAAAAGGUCAAGCCCUGCCCAUCCGAUCUUAGUCUUUAUGUAUUAUUUGUACGGUUCCGAUGAAAAACGUCGGAGUGAUGCUGCCGCCUUCAACCGCCGUUUUCAUCCUGCUUUAUCUUCUCUAGUCUCUACUCGGUGUCGCCUUCAAUCCUUUAACCCUAAACUUAGCCUCUCAAAUUUAAUCAGAAUUCACCUAGUUGUUUGGCACAAAUAUAUUUCCCAUGACUUUUGUUUGUGGAAGUAAACCAAUGAUAUAUGAGUGGUAUCCAGGUGUUUGGCAUCGGUGAUCUGUGUGCUUCAUGGUCCCUGUUAGCAUUGGGUCCGCUCAAUAUUUCUGUCAAUUAUUUGGAUAGUAACUAGCUCUGUUUCGUUUUCUGGUAUUUGUGAGUGUGCAACAUUCUGAAAGAAAAGAAGGCAGAUGGUUUUAUGCUAUUAUUGACAGUGACACCAAAUGGCUCUAUGGCCGUGAAAAGACUAAUUAUUGACAAGCUCCGGUUUUGCAAAGCCUGUUUGAUUUAACAACCAAAGCAGUCAUUCUUUCAUUGAUUUUGUACCCUGUGUGUAUCUUGGGUAGUUUGACCUACAAACUUGAACCCUAUGUGUGGAGAUUGUCCCAGUUGCUCGCCAAUCACCGCCACAUGGUGUAAUAUUACUUCUCCAUUCCACCAUUGUGCGACAUUUGAAGGUCCGGUUCAGGCUAUACAAUUGAAGUACGUAUGUAUGAUAGAGGAUUGAAUAAGCAUAUGCCAAACCAUUUUUUAAUCCAACAUUUUUGGAUGAAGUUUGUGCUAAAUCUAUUAACUCAGCGUCUCCUUGAUUCACUUUGUGGAUAUUUCUUUAAACAGUCCUUGCUUUAGUGAUGAAGAAAACAUGAUGUGCAUUGCAGGCAGUAACUACUUAAAUUGGUGGCUGAACUAAAAGUAACUCAACGGAAAAAGAAAACGAUAUAUUCACUCGCCUUAAGAAAAUUUGCAAACAGAGUUGAGGCAGAGUAUCCAAAUUAGUGCCAAUCAUACUGAGAGCCAUUACGGCUCAUAACUUUC
rnacentral:lncRNA from 1 species